AUUUUAGUUUUAGAAGUAAUUGCCAAUGCACAAAAAAAAAUGAUUUAAAUAUUCAGCUGCUACUCUGUUCAGCUACAGCGAUUCAUUUAGAUUUUUGCAUCAGUACUUUUCUCAGCUCAGGCUGCAGCUGAGAGCUUAUAAACUUACUCAACAACCCCAUCUGCCUUCAUAAAACUCAGGACCCGUCUGUGCUCUGCAGGAAGGCACAAAUGUAAAAAGUGUUACUGCGAUAUGACUUAUGUUUUCUUUUCCGCUUUCUCAUAUUGAUUCAGUUUGUUAUUGCAUGAAAUGUGGGCAUAAAAG